rnacentral:rRNA from 1 species
UACGGGAAGGGCAAGCGUUAUCCGGCGUGACUGGGCGUAAAGAGUCCGUAGACGGUAAAGUAAGUUUACUGUUAAAUUUUAAAACUUAAUUUUAAGAAAGCAAUAAAUACUGCUUUACUUUGAGUUUAAUACAGAAAAGUGGAAUUUUAUAUGGUAGGGGUGAAAUCCGUAGAUAUCGGAAGGAACAUCAGUGGCGAAAGCGACUUCCUGGACCAAUACUGACGCUCAUGUGCGAAAGCGUGGGGAGCAAACAGG